rnacentral:tRNA from 1 species
CUCUGAGUGGUGGAAACAGUUAACAUGUUCAGCUGCUAACUGAAAGGUUGGAAGUUCAAGUUCACUUAGAGG